rnacentral:rRNA from 1 species
UACGUAGGGGCCUAGCGUUGUCCGGAUUUAUUGGGCGUAAAGAGCUCGUAGGCGGUUUGGUUAGUCCGGUGUGAAAUCUCCACGCUCAACGUGGAGGGGCCACCUGAUACUGCCAUGCCUUGAGUCCGGUAGGGGAGUGUGGAAUUCCCGGUGUAGCGGUGAAAUGCGCAGAUAUCGGGAGGAACACCCGUAGCGAAGGCGGCACGCUGGGCCGUGACUGACGCUGAGGAGCGAAAGCGUGGGGAGCAAACAGG